AUUAACUGCACACAUAUCAUUAGGUCAUCAUCAAUAUUUUAAGCUAUUUGGAAAGUUAAUUGACAGCAAAAUAUCAAUAACUAGAUGGUGGUAAAAUUAAUGUUAGUUCUGUAGUGACCACAUUUCUUAGCUAAUUCAUACAAACUGUGUCUUCAUUCUAAGACGUGCAUUUUACCAAAUUCAUUGUGAACUGUAGCAGGUGUGUGGUAGGUUCAGUUUACAUUCUGAUGUUUAUUAAAGAAAACAGCCACUGCACAUAGCUUAGAUAUAGUUUAGAUAUAACACAAAUAUGUAAUUGCACAGGACUUUCCACACUAGACCAAACAUGG